CGAUAAUCUGCCCUUAAGUCUGGGAUAACCACGGGAAACUGUGGCUAAGACCGGAUGGGAAAACAAAUCUGGAACGAUUGUUCUCCGAAAGGUAACGCUUAAGGAUGGGACGGCGGCGGAUUAGGCAGUUGGUGAGGUAACGGCUCACCAAACCGAAGAUCCGUAGGGGCUUUGAGAGAAGGAGCCCCGAGAAGGGCACUGAGACACAGGCCCUAGCCCUACGGGGUGCAGCAGGCGCGAAACCUUUACAAUGCACGCAAGUGUGAUAGGGGAACUCAGAGUGCUAAUACACAGUAUAGGCUUUUGCCAAGAGUAAAUAUCUUGGAGAAUAAGUGGUGGGAAAGACUGGUGCCAGCCGCCGCGGUAACCCCAGCGCCACGAGUGGGGAUCGCGUUUAUUGGGCCUAAAGCAUCCGUAGCUGGUCAUGUAAAUCUCUUGUGAAAUUGUUAGGCUCAACCUAACAGCGUGCAGGAGACACUGCAAGACUAGGGAUUGGGAGGAGUUAGGGGUAUGCUAUGGGGAGCGGUAAAAUGCUAUAAUCCAUGGUAGACCACCUGUGGCGAAGGCGCCUAACUAGAACAAGUCCGACAGUGAGGGAUGAAAGCCAGGGGAGCAAACCGGAUUAGAUACCCGAGUAGUCCUGGCCGUAAACCCUGCGAGCUAGGUGUCGCAUAAUCUUCGUGAUUGUGCGGUGUCGUAGUGAAGAUGAUAAGCUCGCCGCCUGGGAAGUACGGUCGCAAGACCAAAACU
rnacentral:rRNA from 1 species